CAUGUAUUGAAGUACAUCUAUAACUUUCUCGCAACUGUUUUCUUUUAACAGAUUUACAAAAUAUACAAGGUUUUUUUAUAACAUGUUCCGAUAUAUAGUAAUGUCCCUGCCUUUUCAUUCUUAGGAAGGGUUUAGGCAAUGACUUCAUUGUUCUAAAAAAGAAAGAACACUAUGAUAAUUCUCGUAACUUGAGUCGAUUUGAAAAUCUUGA
rnacentral:lncRNA from 1 species